UUUUAGGCUUAUUUUGUUGUUUUAAUCUAAGAUUGUUUAAUUUAAAUAAAAUAUGGACAAAAUAUAAAAACAUAUUUGAAAGAAAGAAAGAAAAUUUGGAUAAUUUAUUUUAUGAUGGUUAAAGAUGUGCACAGCAGAUGGAUUCUGUUUCAUGUCGCUGCGAACAGCAGCUGUAGUCGUUGGACUCAUACACCUUAUUUUAAACGUUGCGAUGGGAAUUAUUAUCACUGUAAUGAUAGUGCAAAUAGCACAAAAACCGGAUGAUGCUAGUAAAAGCCUCAUGUCACCGAUCGCACCAAUCUUUAAGAAGGAUUCGGUGGACAAAACCACUUCGAUAGCUACAAUGGUUGUGAUGUUCUUGGUGCCAGCUGCGAUAGGCGCUCUAAUGGCGCUAUUGCUCAUCAUUGGUGUUGCGACGGACAAUCGGUGUUUGGUGAUGACAUAUUAUGUCUAUGGCAUAUUGACAGUGAUAGCCAGCGUUGUAUUUGUUGCAGUCUGGUUUUAUUCAGGAGAAAUUUUGGCCGCGGUUUUUACACUUAUUUCACUGAUUGUCUAUGUGAUCAUACUUCAUUUCGUUAUCAAGGGGUUUUUGAAUGAGAUGGGCGGUUGAAAUAUGCAAUGCAGGUCAAGAGAAGUGAGCCUCAACUUAACUGUAUUUCUUCGAAUAAGAUUAAUAAAGGAAAAUAACGAUUAA